CUGUUUUCUCUCCGAAAAUAGUAAAACCAUCGUCCCAUAAUAACACCCGACCCGUUUUCCAUCGAUUCCAGUGAGAUUCGAGUUGGUUUCGACGAGAUUUCAUGCGAAGUGGUCGUUUGAACUUGGUUCCGGUGAAAUCGUUUGUGGGUUUUCGUUAUUACAAUAUUUGGUCUGAUGUGGUGAUUAAAUCGAGUUUGUUAUUGAG
rnacentral:lncRNA from 1 species